rnacentral:rRNA from 1 species
CGUAGGUGGUUUGUCGCGUUGUUCGUGAAAUCUCACGGCUUAACUGUGAGCGUGCGGGCGAUACGGGCAGACUUGAGUACUGCAGGGGAGACUGGAAUUCCUGGUGUAGCGGUGGAAUGCGCAGAUAUCAGGAGGAACACCGGUGGCGAAGGCGGGUCUCUGGGCAGUAACUGACGCUGAGGAGCGAAAGCGUGGGGAGCGAACAGGAUUAGAUACCCUGGUAGUCCACGCCGUAAACGGUGGGUACUAGGUGUGGGUUUCCUUCCUUGGGAUCCGUGCCGUAGCUAACGCAUUAAGUACCCCGCCUGGGGAGUACGGCCGCAAGGCUAAAACUCAAAGAAAUUGACGGGGGCCCGCACAAGCGGCGGAGCAUGUGGAUUAAUUCGAUGCAACGCGAAGAACCUUACCUGGGUUUGACAUGCACAGGACGCCGGCAGAGAUGUCGGUUCCCUUGUGGCCUGUGUGCAGGUGGUGCAUGGCUGUCGUCAGCUCGUGUCGUGAGAUGUUGGGUUAAGUCCCGCAACGAGCGCAACCCUUGUCUCAUGUUGCCAGCGGGUAAUGCCGGGGACUCGUGAGAGACUGCCGGGGUCAACUCGGAGGAAGGUGGGGAUGACGUCAAGUCAUCAUGCCCCUUAUGUCCAGGGCUUCACACAUGCUACAAUGGCCGGUACAAAGGGCUGCGAUGCCGCGAGGUUAAGCGAAUCCUUUUAAAGCCGGUCUCAGUUCGGAUCGGGGUCUGCAACUCGACCCCGUGAAGUCGGAGUCGCUAGUAAUCGCA